AGUGAACGCUGGCGGUAGGCCUAACACAUGCAAGUCGAACGGCAGCACAGUAAGAGCUUGCCCUUACGGGUGGCGAGUGGCGGACGGGUGAGGAAUACAUCGGAAUCUACUUUUUCGUGGGGGAUAACGUAGGGAAACUUACGCUAAUACCGCAUACGACUUACGGGUGAAAGCAGGGGAUCUUCGGACCUUGCGCGAUUGAAUGAGCCGAUGUCGGAUUAGCUAGUUGGCGGGGUAAAGGCCCACCAAGGCGACGAUCCGUAGCUGGUCUGAGAGGAUGAUCAGCCACACUGGAACUAAGACACGGUCCAGACUCCUACGGGAGGCAGCAGUGGGGAAUAUUGGACAAUGGGCGCAAGCCUGAUCCAGCCAUACCGCGUGGGUGAAGAAGGCCUUCGGGUUGUAAAGCCCUUUUGUUGGGAAAGAAAAGCAGCAGGUUAAUACCCCGCUGUUCUGACGGUACCCAAAGAAUAAGCACCGGCUAACUUCGUG
rnacentral:rRNA from 1 species